rnacentral:rRNA from 1 species
AGUGAACGCUGGCGGUAGGCCUAACACAUGCAAGUCGAACGGCCGCACAGUAAGCUCUUGCUCUUACGGGUGGCGAGUGACGGACGGGUGACGCAUACAUCACAAUCUACUUUUUCGUGGGUGAUAACGUAGGGAAACUUACGCUAAUACCUCAUACGACCUACGGGUGAAAUCAGGGGAUCUUCGCACCUUUCGCGUUUCAAUUAGCCGAUGUCGGAUUAGCUAGUUGGCGGGGUAAGGUCCCACCAAGGCGACGAUCCGUAGCUGGUCUGAGAGGAUGAUCAGCCACACUGGAACUGAGACACGGUCCAGACUCCUACGGGAGGCAGCAGUGGGGAAUAUUGGACAAUGGGCGAAAGCCUGAUCCAGCAAUACCGCGUGGGUGAAGAAGGCCUUCGGGUUGUAAAGCCCUUUUGUUGGGAAAGAAAAGCAGCAGGUUAAUCCCCCGCUGUUCUGACGGUACCCAAAGAAUAAGCACCGGCUAACUUCGUG